GGGGGUGCUCCGGUUUCGACGGGGUGUAGGACGCUGCACGGUGCAUGUCGAGGUCUAGUCACCUCGUUAAACCGCUAGAAACUUAUAAACGCCAACAACGAGCGUUUCGCUCUCGCCGCCUAAGGGCCGCGGGCGAUGCACUGAAUGGUCUCUGGUUCAGGUCGGGUAACCGGCAGCAUCGUCAUUUACAGGGACUGGAUACUUGUGGUGCCGCGACACAGGUAUCAAGAUCAAGCGGCUGGUCGAAGUUCGGCCUGUCAGUCGGCAGGGACUUCGGCGAGAUUCAAAUAGUCUGACUACACAUGUAGAGCCGGCAGAAAAAUCGCUUCGGACGCGGGUUCAAUUCCCGCCACCUCCACCA
rnacentral:tmRNA from 1 species